rnacentral:ncRNA from 1 species
UUAAAGACGUAGACGGAAAUUAGUAGAAUCAAGCUGUAUAACAGAAAGAGACCGGUAGCUGAGAAGGUUUUGAUACAAAAUGAUUUGAAUUUCACUUCCUGAGUUACUGUUGGGAUUCAUUUAGAUGAAUAACAGAUCGGUUCAUGACCGUUUUAUCAUGAAAAAGUGCUGUUUUUACUGACAGAACAAGGGUGGUACCGCGAAGCCUCGUCCCUUUU